AACGAACGCUGGCGGCGUGCUUAAGACAUGCAAGUCGUACGGAAAGGCCCCCUUCGGGGGGCACUCGAGUGGCGCACGGGUGAGUAACGCGUGGGUAAUCUGCCUUAGGGUCUAGGACAACCCCGGGAAACUGGGGCUAAUACUGGAUAAGACCACGAGCUCUUCGGAGCUUGCGGAAAAAGAUGGCCUCUCCUUGGAAGCUAUCGCCCUUCGAUGAGCCCGCGUCCCAUUAGCUAGUUGGUGAGGUGACGGCUCACCAAGGCUUUGAUGGGUAGCUGGUCUGAGAGGAUGAUCAGCCACACUGGAACUGAGACACGGUCCAGACUCCUACGGGAGGCAGCAGUCGGGAAUUUUGGGCAAUGGGCGAAAGCCUGACCCAGCAACGCCGCGUGAGGGAUGAAGGCCCUCGGGUCGUAAACCUCUGUCGGGAGGGAAGAACGGUUCACGUUCAAACAGGACGGGAGCCUGACGGUACCUCCAAAGGAAGCACCGGCUAACUCCGUGCCAGCAGCCGCGGUAAUAC
rnacentral:rRNA from 1 species